GGUUUCUUAUAGAUGGCUUUUAUUACAUUGAGGUGGAGCCAGAGCAUGUGAUGGGAGCACCGGGCCUGAGCUGCAGCAUAAGUUUCCUCUGAUUUUCAACCUGGAAGACGAUAUCGCAGAAGCCGUGCCUCUAGAAAGAGGUGGUGCGGAGUACCAGGCCAUGCUGCCCCAGGUCAGAAAGGUUCUUGCAGACGUCCUCCAAGACAUUGCCAAUGACAACAUCUCCAGCGCAGAUUACACUCAGGACCCUUCAGUAACUCCCUGCUGUAAUCCCUACCAAAUUGCCUGCCGCUGUCAAGCUGCAUAACAGACCAAUUUUUAUUCCACAAGGAGGAAUAUUUGGGAAUUAGACAGGCUGGAGUGCAGUGGCGUGAUCUCGGCUCACU
rnacentral:sRNA from 1 species